AUUGAACGCUGGCGGCAGGCCUAACACAUGCAAGUCGAGCGGAUGAAGGGAGCUUGCUCCUGGAUUCAGCGGCGGACGGGUGAGUAAUGCCUAGGAAUCUGCCUGGUAGUGGGUGAUAACGUCCUGAAACGGGCGCUAAUACCGCAUACGUCCUGAGGGAGAAAGUGGGGGAUCUUCGGACCUCACGCUAUCAGAUGAGCCUAGGUCGGAUUAGCUAGUUGGUGGGGUAAAGGCCUACCAAGGCGACGAUCCGUAACUGGUCUGAGAGGAUGAUCAGUCACACUGGAACUGAGACACGGUCCAGACUCCUACGGGAGGCAGCAGUGGGGAAUAUUGGACAAUGGGCGAAAGCCUGAUCCAGCCAUGCCGCGUGUGUGAAGAAGGUCUUCGGAUUGUAAAGCACUUUAAGUUGGGAGGAAGGGCAGUAAGUUAAUACCUUGCUGUUUUGACGUUACCAACAGAAUAAGCACCGGCUAACUUCGUG
rnacentral:rRNA from 1 species